CCAGCCUGUGCUCACUGCCUCCUUUCUGCACCCCUCCCGCCAGGCACCUGGCAGACACAUUACUUGGGGAAGCUUCUAUUUCGAGGUUCCAGGCUGCCUUUAUUAGACUGGAAGCUCCCCCCGGGUGGAAAGCAUGGCUAUGAUCUCCUGACAUCCCUUCGAAGCCCCUCUUGGGCCUGGAGCUGAGCAGGGGUGCAGACGGGGAAAGAGUGAAAUCCAGCCUCCCCGCCCCGGUAUCUAACUCAGGCCCAGCUCAGUGUGGGGGAAGGCAGCCCCCUCCCCACCACUCCCCCUAGGCUGAGCCUCUUGGUAGCAGUGGCUCCUGGCACCAAGGGCUCGCUGUGUGCUCAGCUCUUCGCUGACCUUGCUGUCCAUACCCUCUCCUCCGCUCCUCACAGCAACCCACAAGAGAGUUGUUGCUAAUUCCUCUAGACAAAGAAACUGAGGCUCAGAGAAGGCAGGCAGCUUGCCCCAGCUCACACAGCAGAGCAGCGAUUGGAACCAGACACCGAAGCCUGAGCUGUUUCCAGUGCCUCUGGCCAGCUGCCACAUGGCCUCUGGCCUGUCAAGGUCCAAAUCCCAGCUAAAGGCAGGAAUUCAGGAUUGGGGUCAGAAUUAGGGCCAGCCAAGGAGCAGGAAGUCAUCUCCCAGGCUAUGAAAGGAUGGGCUGGUCAGUUCCGGAGAGAAGUCUGAUGAGUGCUAAAAGUGUGGGUGAGGUAUGGAUCCAGCUGGGCUCCCUGGACCCGGACUCUCCCUGCAGUAGCAGAAAGACCCGAGAUCUGGAUGGGGAAAAGGUGAGGUUCUCUCCUAGAUUCACACAGCAGCGGGCCUUAAGCUGGUAGCACUUCUUCCCUCCCUUUGAAGAUCUCCCAGGUCUUACACGUUAUAAAACCCCAUCUGUGCAGACCCUCCUAAGUUCAACCAAGGGAUUUUUUUUUUUAAGAUUUGUUUAUUCAUGAGAGACAGAGGGAGAGGCAGAGGCAGAGACACAGGCAGAGGGAGACGCAGGCUCCCUGCAGGGAGCUGAUGUGGGACUCGAUCCCAGGACCCCGGGAUCACGACCUGAGCCAAAGACAGAUGCUCAACCACUGAGCCACCCGGGUGCCCCCAACCAAGAAACUUUCUGGAGGAAGGAGGAUGAAGGGAACCUCUUCACUCAAUUCCCUCAUUCUUUCCUAUGGUGGGCAUGUUGUAA
rnacentral:lncRNA from 12 species